GAUGAACGCUGGCGGCGUGCCUAAUACAUGCAAGUCGAGCGAACAGACGAGGAGCUUGCUCCUCUGACGUUAGCGGCGGACGGGUGAGUAACACGUGGAUAACCUACCUAUAAGACUGGGAUAACUUCGGGAAACCGGAGCUAAUACCGGAUAAUAUAUUGAACCGCAUGGUUCAAUAGUGAAAGACGGUUUUGCUGUCACUUAUAGAUGGAUCCGCGCCGCAUUAGCUAGUUGGUAAGGUAACGGCUUACCAAGGCAACGAUGCGUAGCCGACCUGAGAGGGUGAGCGGCCACACUGGAACUGAGACACGGUCCAGACUCCUACGGGAGGCAGCAGUAGGGAAUCUUCCGCAAUGGGCGAAAGCCUGACGGAGCAACACCGCGUGAGUGAUGAAGGUCUUCGGAUCGUAAAACUCUGUUAUUAGGGAAGAACAAAUGUGUAAGUAACUAUGCACGUCUUGACGGUACCUAAUCAGAAAGCCACGGCUAACUACGUG
rnacentral:rRNA from 1 species